CAGUCGCCGCGGUAAUACGUAGGGUGCAAGCGUUAAUCGGAAUUACUGGGCGUAAAGCGUGCGCAGGCGGUUAUAUAAGUCAGAUGUGAAAUCCCCGGGCUCAACCUGGGAACUGCAUUUGAGACUGUAUGGCUAGAGUGUGUCAGAGGGGGGUAGAACUCCACGUGUAGCAGUGAAAUGCGUAGAUAUGUGGGGGAAUACCGAUGGCGAAGGCAGCCCCCUGGGAUAACACUGACGCUCAUGCACGAAAGCGUGGGGAGCAAACAGGAUUAGAUACCCCCGUAGUCCCUGUCUCUUAUAA
rnacentral:rRNA from 1 species